GGUAGUGUGGCCGAGUUUAGGCGGUGAGUUGUAGCCUCACAGACUGGGAUUGCGCCCACGCUACCAAGUC
rnacentral:tRNA from 1 species